GACGUAGGGCGCGAGCGUUGUCCGGAUUUAUUGGGCGUAAAGAGCUCGUAGGCGGCUUGUCGCGUCGACCGUGAAAACUUGGGGCUCAACCCCAAGCCUGCGGUCGAUACGGGCAGGCUAGAGUUCGGUAGGGGGAGACUGGAAUUCCUGGUGUAGCGGUGAAAUGCGCAGAUAUCAGGAAGAACACCCGUGGCGAAGGCGGCUCUCUGGAACGCAACUGACGCUGAGACGCGAAAGCGUGGGGAGCAAACAGG
rnacentral:rRNA from 1 species